ensembl:lncRNA
ACAGAGCUAGCUCUCAGAGCAGAAGUCUUAUGUCCAUCCUUCCCCAGGCUUCAAUGACUCAAGCAUUUCUCUGCUGGUGACCACUCUCCUGUGGCUAUAGAACAGAAGUCCCCAAACUACCUCUGGCCACAUGCAGCCCCCUAAGACCAUGUAUCAGGGAGCCCCCCCCCCACUUCUGGAAGGGACACCUCUUUCAUUGGUGGUCAGUGAGAGGAGUCAUAGCUGUGUGGGGCAUCACUAACAUACAGUACUACUUCUGGUGACUUGAUCUUUUGCGGUGUCGUGGCGCCUUACAACAAGGCACCAUGCAAAGGAUUAUGUGGCUGCACUAUGGAAGAUGUUGCGAGACAUGGACACUGUACCGGAAGCACAUGAAACAGCUGGAGCAAUUCUACCAACGCUUGCUCCGGUCAAUCAUGAGGAUCCGAUGGCAGGACCGAAUCACCAAUCAGGAAGUCCUCGACAGAGCCAACUCCACCAGCAUCGAAGUCCUGGUCCUCCAAGCCCAGCUACGAUGGUCUGGACACGUCAUCCGCAUGGACCCACAGCGAAUACCAAGGCAGGUAUUCUAUGGUGAACUGUCAGCUGGACUCAGGAAACAAGGCCGACCAAAGAAAAGAUUCAAGGAUCAGCUAAAGUCCAACUUGAAGUGGGCUGGCAUUACACCAAAGCAACUAGAACUCGCUGCCUCUGUCAGAAGCAGCUGGCGAACCCACAUUCACCAUGCCGCCACCACCUUUGAAGAUGAGCGACGUCGACGUCUUGCUGCUGCAUGUGAACGCCAACACCAGGCCACAACCGCACCUCCCGUAACAACUGGCGUCCCAGGCCCCAUGUGCCACAAACUGUGCGCCUCAGCCUUUGGACUCCAAAGCCACAGGAGGGUACAUCAAUAGAUGAUAAUGCACAAAGACAAUAGUCAUUCUCGGACACUGAGAGACUACCACUACUACUUCCCUACUCACUAGGCUUUUACCUAUAGGGAAUCCUUUGCUAUCUUUCACCUGCACUAUUGUCUAUAAUGGUUUCUCUUUUCCAAUUUCUUCCCCCUCCAUUCCUUCCUCUGACCUUUUUCAAAUUGGUAUUCCUAAAAUACUACAGUGGCCUUGCCAGCUCCCAAGGUUCCCUUUUGCCUCCUAAGAUAAAAUUCAAAUUCCUCUUCCUCCCUCUGACCUUCCAGGCCUUAAUACUCUGUCUCCUCCCUUCCUUUCCAGGCUUGAAUAAUAUUCCCACAUCAGUUGUUUCAGCUCAAGCUGCAACUGCCUUGCAGUUGCCCCAUUGCUCAUUCCACCUUCUAGUGUACAAGCUCUUCCCCUGGUUUGGGAUACUCCUCUUCUUACCUCCACCACUCAGAAUGCCCAGCACCCUUCAAGACUCAGCUCACUCACCCCCUUCCACAGGAAAAGGCCUUUCUUUCCUAAGCUUCCAGCCCCAUUACAAAAAUUCCUUUAUUUACUUUUUCUAUGUGGGGUUCAGUUGGUCAUCAUGUAAACGUGCCCUUAUAGAAAUCUGUUUGGAAAUUUAAGGCUGCAUGUGCAUGUAAAGAAUAAAAGGGAAGGGGUAUAUAGGUAGCA